AGAAGCUGUUGGAGUUUUUCCUCCUUUAGGAGCGCCCUGAAGCGGUGCUUGGUUUGCAGGGCAGAAGGCCCGGGCUUGAAGUGAUAUUGAUAGGGAAGGCCUUGCGCAAAGAAGCACCAAACCGUGCGGUGCCGGUAGCAUCGCGAGCUCUGCAAGGAGACUGUUUUGCAGCGCUCAGCCUCACAACCCUUGGAGCGCAAAGAUUUCAGCCUCCGAGUCCCUCUGGCACCAACGGAACGCUGAGUUACAUCCUUCAGGUUCGGGACAUCCCCUUCUAAGUCGCUUUGCUUUCGUGCCCGUGCCCUCUGACUUCUGCCCCCCCUGCCCUUUCCCCCACCUGGAUGAGCUGACCUUCUCAUCCUCUUCCUAUUUUUAAGCGUGUGUUAAGAUAAGGCAAACAGAUAAGCGAUCUCUCCCACAGACAUUUACUUGCAUCAUCGGAACAUUUACUCCAAUUAGAGCACAAAAGACCCCAGUCUCUCCAUCCCCUUUAACUCCAUUGGUAAGGUCAAUAUUUGCCCGGCGGUUGCUCCCACCGCCCGGGCAGAGGGGACGGACAGAACAGACAUCAGGGAACAGAUCGCUUUUCAUCGUGCAGUCAUUUGAAAGCGGUCUGCAAAUGGACAUGCACUGCAGAACUCAUCACGAGAGUAACGACAGCACGGGAGCUGUCGAGGCGAGGGCACGGGGAAUUCCCCCGCUUGAAAUGUCAAGCACCAAGGCCAGGCGUCUUCUAGGAAGGCACGUCUCCAUGUAGGGAUGGUGGCUGGCCGCCAGCUCCAAGAGGAGGGCAGGAGGAAGAGCUGCCUUCUCUCAUCGCAGUCGUUUGAAGAGGUGGUCCGUCUUCCAAAGCAAUAAUGCUUAGGUGAACCACUUAAGGGCAAGGCGCUCCUACGGCCAAAGCCAUCCGAACCGUUGGGUCUGAAGGAGGGUGCUCCAUAAAGGAGAAAGAGGAACGGCUUCCCAAGAGCCAUUCUCCGCUCUCCGUGGGCACUGCAGGACCUCGGGCUUUCCGGUGGACCCGGAACAAAACCCCACAGCUUAAGCGUGGUGAACGGCUGCUGACACCUGGUGGUGAGGUCCACGGGCCAACCCGGAGGAUGGAGGCACCUGUAGGAGUUCUUGCGGGCAACGUCUGCAGAGCGAUGGGGUACAGAGAAAGACCGCAGCUGCAAAUGAGGAGCUCAAAACUGUCACACGAAGCGGCUGUGGGAGAAGCGACGCGGCGGCUUUAGGAGCCAUCAUCUGUAUGUUGAACACCACUGUGGCCCUUUCCGUUAUCGCGUGACGGGUGUUCUGAUCUACCGGGCUGCUUUGUCAGUUGCUUUGGAUGUACGCAAGCUUACUCGGCGCCAUCCCCCCAGGUGACUUCGAUGCAAGCAACUCAUUUCACGAUUGGGGCGUUCGCCCAUUCAUUCCACCCCAUUCAGUGGUGGAGCUGAAGAGGUGUCGUUAACUUCUCCUACAGCAUGGAAACAAACCUCCCACCGCAGCUGCUCGGGAUAGGGGAAAGCAUCCAGCAAGCCAAGGCACUUGGGGAAAAGGAGGCAGCUCCAGACAAAGCAUCUCUUCCGAGGCUUUAAAGUCCAUUUGAUGUCUGCUUGCAAAUGGGAGGAAUCAUUAUGAAUGCAUGUGAAGCGAUUAGCAAACAUCCACAUCUAUUAGGCAUAAAGGAAAAAUAACCAGACCGAAAUAGCUGUCAGAAUGGCUCCCUUUGCUCCUUUAUGUUAUUGGAGCUCAUCGUUUGCAGAAACUCAAUCUCGGCUCUUUAAAUGAGCAUAUGGUGGGGAAACAAGAGGGAAAGGCGAAACGUUUCUGCCCGGCUUCAGGCGCAGAGCAGGCUUUGCGCGAUCAGAGCAGGGAGGUUGCCGAACGUAAACACAGUAAUUAAGGCACUCAUCCUAAUUGCAGGCAGUUAAUUGCGCUGUACGCUGCAUAAUUGAGCCACCCUGGGCAGCGCGUGGCUGGAAAUCCCUCGUGCGUUCUUUAGUCCGACUCCUAUAGGAUCCUCCAUACCCGCGCUGGCUUUUCAUCCUCGCUCAACUCUUUGGCAUUAGAACUGGGCCCCGAACCUUCGUUUUCUUACAGUGAAACGUAUUCACACGAGGUACGCUCACGGCUCCCAGCCAAACCUUUGGAUCCACCCGAGCAGCUCAGCCCACACGUCUCCCUUCGGCCGCGGGGGGAGAUGGAGCACUCCCUGCUGAACCCGAGGGGGGAACUCACGAAAUUCCGAGCUCACCCCGUACGCGUGGCCCUCGGUGGGGCCGCGCGGGUACCGCUAGGUGUCACCCCCCGCCCGCCGACGGACCCGGUGCCGCCGCAGGGUCACCUCGCGGGGCGGUGACCGUCGCCGGCUUUCGAGCACGGCCUCCCGUUGCCCCGAGGGAAGGUCGGUUGGAUGUCCCGAAGAAUUUCUUCUCCGACAGAGCGGCGAUGCGUCGGCUGCCCCAGGAGGCGGGGCGGUCCCCAUCCCUGGAGGCGCGAGACGCGGCACGGGGGGACGUGGGCAGCAUUGGCGGCAGGCGGGCCGUUGGGCUGGAUGACCUUUGAGGUCGCUUCCAACCUCAUGGCUCUCUUUAGACACCCCGGGGGCCAACUCCAUCCUGCACGCUGCUGUCGGCUCUGAGGUCUGAUCGGAGGCCUUCUCCUUUCCCUCGAGGCGCUGCUCGGCCGCUGUGUUGCUGCAGGGGUGCUGCGUGAGCGCAGAGCACAGCCGGCUUUGUCCACCCUGACAGGCUCACCUUUCUUCCUGCCUAGAAACACCGCUGCGGGACUCGCCCCCCCCCCAGGGAAAGCAGAAGCUCCAGCGCGGGGCUGGGGACUAGAAGAGCCCCGUUAUGUGCUACGGAACAAAGGGAACAUCGAGCGAGAAGCCACCUCGCUUCGCAGAGCACCCCGGCUCCCGCUCCAGCUGCUCCGUGCCGGGGGAGCAGCAGCACUGAGCCCCCCCGGGUCCCGCAGAGCUGCAAAGGAGCACGAGGGGCAGGUGCAGAGAGUGCACGCGUAAGGAGGAGCCGGCAGCACCGCCGGACCGCAGGUUGUCAGACAGACCCCGCCAUCCCAUAACGUUAGGGUUGUAGAGAUGCAUCAGCAUCACUCCGGACGGCUUCUCUGCCACCGUAGGCCAACGCUUUGCUCAAGCACAUGAAUCUAACAGACAGAACCCCCCCUUCAACCCGCCGUGCUUUGAAACGCACCCAGCAACACCUGUCCCCAGCAGAGCCAGCCCUGCCCCACGUCGGAGCUGGGUUCCGUCGGGCUGGGUGUGGAGGUGCCGGCCAGCAUCUCUGCACGACAGCGAGCCUGAGAAGCUAAUUAGCGCCCGUUUGCUGCUUUCAGAGAGGAGAUUCUGAGCGCUGUUGGUAAACUCAUUUCAAGGAGUCGCACUCAAUUUGCAGCGACGGAUGCUCAUCGUGGCUUUGUUCCCACAUCUACAAAGAGCAGCGCUGCAGAGGGGCUUUGAUGAUCCCUCUCGUUUGGACAGCUGGCAGGGAGCAGGAUGCACCCAGGAAUAGAAGGGCACACGGGAGCCACGGCGUCCCCUGCACGAGAGCAAACGGAGAGGCUGGACGUCUGUAAAGUGGGGGAUGUGGGGUUCUAUCCUAGUGAUGCAACUGGAAAGUGAAAGCUCUCGCACUGCGUGGGAGAGCAGAAAUCCGCUCUGCGUCUUGAAAUAGUUGCACGUGAAGUCCUGCCCUCAACUCGCGACCUGCAACCUGCACGGCAUGGCUCUCAGGAGCCCAUUGUAGGGGCGGUUGUUGCACUGCUGGGCUCCUCCAGCUCUUGGGGGUCAGCGUGGCAUCGCACGCCCAGGGACGUCGGCGUCAGUGGGAGCCAAGCCCAGCAUCGUCAGCACAGCUGUCAGGGCCCCGGGUGGGCCCUAAUGAGGCCCCCAGGUGCCACAGGGCUGGGCUGCCCUAGCACAGCUGCGCCUUAUCGGCGGCUCAGGGCAGGGCCCGCCCUCAACGCCUCUUAAACCCCCACCAGAGCUUGCUGGGAUCCACUGGGGGCUGCUGGGAGCUCAGGGGCUCAUUCAGGGCUUGCCGCAGCAUGCUGCCAGGCUCCCACACUGCUCUCUCUUUUUGGGGAGGGCGCUGGGCUUCUGCUGGGCUUUUUUGGGGUCUGGUUUCUGCUGGGCUCCUCUGCUCUUUUGGAGUCAGUGUGGGGUGGCCCUGCUGGGCUCUGGCCUUGUUUUCUUCUUUUUGGUGGUGGUAUGGGAUUGCUGUUGGUGCCCCUGCCCUCUUUGGGUCCAGCACAGGGCUGCUCUUGGCUCCCCUCUGCUCCUUAGAGCCUAUGCAGCACUUUUGCAAAGCAGCUCUCCUAGCCCCUUUGUGGGGUUAGUUAAGGGCAGUUUGCAGGUCCUGCAGCAACGGAGGAGAGCAGAACGGAGCUGCGCCCCUUACCCUGGAGCUGCUGGGGGUCAGAAGCAUCGCAAGGGGCUGCUUUCAAAACAGCAAAUGCUGGGGAUAUCCAUUUAAUCACGUUUGUUCUCUCUCCUUUUUGUUUCUCUCUUGCAGGGUGAGAGCUCCAGCGAGGAUCAGCCCGCAGUACUGAGCGGCUGUGGCAGCGAUGGGAGCGUGGAGCUGAGUCCCAGGGGUCUGGGCGAGCACGUUCCCUCGUGCCCAGACCCCGGGGGCUCUUUGCUUGCAGCAGGAGGAUCCUUCUGCCCUUCUAUUGGGGUCAAUGCAGUGCUGCUGCUGGGCUCCCUACCUUCUUUUUCUGGGUUCUGCUGGACUCCCCGAGGCAGAGCGCAGCCCUGGGGGUGCCCACUGCCCCCCUUGGUUGCAGCAGCGGGGGCGUGCAGGAUGGAAUCAUGGUUGUCCCCUCCCUAGCCCUAUUGCUGCUGGGAGUAAGAAGCAACGCCAGGGACAGCUAAGUUGAAAGCAGUGCUUUAAAUCACUUGCUGUGCUUUUAUCUUUUUGAUUUCCCCAAAAAGCUGUUGCAAGGUAAGGUGCUUUGCAGCAGGGAUCAGCCCAGAGAUGCAAGGUUCCCGCUGCACUGGGACUGCAGAGACGAGCACUGGGAUGUGGCGGUGUGAAUCUUUAGUUUUACUCAUGAAUUUUGUUCACAGAACCACAGGAUUGUAGGUGCUGGAAGGGACCUCUGGAGGUAACGAAGUUAACCCCUCUGCAAACUUCAUCAUAGAGGUGCUCCAGGCCCUGCAUCGUCUUUAUGGCCCUCUGCUGGACUCCUUCCAGGAGAUCCCUCUCUUUGUUUGUACUGAGGAGCCUGGAAUGGGAUGCAGUACUGCAGGUGUGCAGCUCUGCAGCCCUUCCUGUGGGACGGCAGCACAGCCUUCCGGUGCAUCAGCUGCUCUUCCAAGGCCAGUUCUCAGCCCACCUCCCUGCUCACUCAUGUUGGGAUGUUGCGGGAGGAAAAAAAUCCAGCAGCAUUUCUGACUAAAGGUAGAUGACAUUGGCUCUCUCCUCCAUCUGCAUGCCUGGCGAUGCCAUUGUGGAAGACUGUGAGGGCCUUGGUUUGUGGGUUCCACUACAGCAGCAGCCCCUCAGAGGAGGUUUGAGGAGCUGUUCUCGCCACAGGGGCAGGGCUGGAGCAAGGUCCUGGUGCUGCCUGUCUAAGGGAGGAAGGCUGCCAGCUGUGCCCUUGUCCCCUGUUGGGGUUGUGGGGUGAUGGAGCUGCUUGGCGUCCAGGAGGAGCUGAGGGGAUCUGGCAGCUGUCUGAUGUUUUGUGUUCCUGAUGGGAGCAGUGGCUUCUGUGAGCAGUGCCAAUUGUCCAGCUUUCCCAGGGUGUGGAGGAGCAGCAUGAUGGGGGCUCCCCGUGCGAGACCAAGGAUUUAAGCUGCUGCUGCUGCUCAGAGUGGUGUGGUUCCCCUUCUGUCUGUGGUAAGCUUGAGGUGGAAACAGAAGUGGUAGAUUUCAAAUGUCUGCAGGAGAAGAGAACAUGCUUGAGCUGGAGCUUGAAAUAAUGCUCUUGAGUGGGGAGGCUUGCUGCUUUGCUCUAUCAAAGGAAACAAAAACUAAAUUGAGCAAGGCAACUCAUGAGGUUUGAUGUAAAGAGGGAAAAAAAAAUCUGGCACUCACCCUCUAAUGCUUGGAGAUCUGCUCUUCAUCCUCUGCUCCCUUGAAGCUGCUUCAUUUCAGGUACCCUUAUGCAUCUAGAAGAAAGCAAGUAGCUGCAUUGAAGAAUGUUUUCCAAUAUGUACAAGUUUGAUAUUGAUGGUUAAAUGUUAUUAAUAAAUGGGAAAGAAUAAAUAUUUGUUACAGCUGA